GACGAACGCUGGCGGCGUGCUUAACACAUGCAAGUCGAACGGAAAGGCCCUGCUUUUGUGGGGUGCUCGAGUGGCGAACGGGUGAGUAACACGUGAGUAACCUGCCCUUGACUUUGGGAUAACUUCAGGAAACUGGGGCUAAUACCGGAUAUGAGCUCCUGCUGCAUGGUGGGGGUUGGAAAGUUUCGGCGGUUGGGUAUGGACUCGCGGCUUAUCAGCUUGUUGGUGGGGUAGUGGCUUACCAAGGCUUUGACGGGUAGCCGGCCUGAGAGGGUGACCGGCGACAUUGGGACUAAGAGACGGCGCAGAAUGCUACGGGAGGCAGCAGUGGAGAAUAUUGCAGAGUAGGCGGAAGCGUGAGGCAGAAACGCCGCGUGCGGGAUGACGGGCUACGGGUUGAAAACCGAUUUCGAAGGAGACGAAGCGUGAGUGACGGUAAUGGGUAAAGAAGCAACGGCUAACUACGUG
rnacentral:rRNA from 1 species